GCGCGAAAACUUUACAAUGCUGGCAACAGCGAUCAGGGAACCUCGAGUGCCAGGUUACACAUCUGGCUGUCGAGAUGCCUAAAAAGCAUUUCAUAGCAAGGGCCGGGCAAGACCGGUGCCAGCCGCCGCGGUAACACCGGCGGCUCGAGUGGUAACCGUUAUUAUUGGGUCUAAAGGGUCUGUAGUCGGCCGGAUAAGUCUCUUGAGAAAUCUGGCAGCUUAACUGUCAGGCUUUCAGGAGAGACUGUCUGGCUCGAGGCCGGGAGAGGUGAGAGGUACUUCAGGGGUAGGGGUGAAAUCUUGUAAUCCUUGAAGGACCACCAGUGGCGAAGGCGUCUCACCAGAACGGACCUGACGGCAAGGGACGAAAGCUAGGGGCACGAACC
rnacentral:rRNA from 1 species